rnacentral:rRNA from 1 species
ACUCAAAGGAAUUGACGGGGACCCGCACAAGCGGUGGAGCAUGUGGAUUAAUUCGAUACUAACCGAAGAACCUUACCCAGGUUUGACAUCGAUCGUAAGCCGAUGAAAGUCGGCCCUCUCCCACAAGGAGACGUGAAGACACUUGUUGCAUGGCUGUCGUCAGCUCGUGCCGUGAGGUGUACGGUUAAGUCCGCCAACGAGCGCAACCCUCGUCCUGUGUUACCAGCAUGAAAGAUGGGGACUCACAGGAGACCGCCGGUGUAAGCCGGAGGAAGGUGGGGAUGAUGUCAAGUCAGCAUGGCAGUUACAUCUGGGGCUUCACACAUGCUACAAUGGGCGAAACAAAGGGCAGCAAUACCGCGAGGUGGAGCAAAUCCCAAAAAUACGCCCCCAGUUCAGAUUGCAGUCUGCAACUCGACUGCAUGAAGGCGGAAUCGCUAGUAAACGCAGGUCAGCUAUACUGCGUUGAAUACGUUCCCGGGUCUUGUACACACCGCCCGU